rnacentral:rRNA from 1 species
CCUAUGGGGUGCAGCAGGCGCGAAAACUUCGCAAUGGGGGCAACCCCGACGAGGGAAUUCCAAGUGCCAGCACUUUGUGUUGGCUGUUCUCCUGUCUAAAAAACAGGAGGAGUAAGGGGCGGGUAAGACGGGUGCCAGCCGCCGCGGUAAUACCCGCGCCCCUAGUGGUGGUCGAUAUUAUUGAGCCUAAAACGUCCGUAGCCGGUCUUCUAAAUCCUUGGGUAAAUCGGACAGCUUAACUGUCCGAAUUCCGGGGAGACUGGGAGACUUGGGACCGGGAGAGGUCAGAGGUACUUCUGGGGUAGGGGUAAAAUCCUGUAAUCCUGGAAGGACCACCGGUGGCGAAGGCGUCUGACUAGAACGGAUCCGACGGUGAGGGACGAAGCCCUGGGGCGCAAACGGGAUUAGAUACCCCCGUAGUCC